rnacentral:lncRNA from 1 species
GAUAAUUGAUCUUCCAGUUAAAAGAAAAACCCCCAAAAAUUUCCUUCUAAUACAUAUUAAAUAUUUACCAAGAAAACCUUUAAACAAUGCUCACAGGAUGAAUUCUUUAAUUCUGGAAGACAACUUAUUUAUGGCAUCACGGCGGCAGUAACGAGUUUGCCGGAUUCGAAGCAACGACGGGGAGGGGAAAGGGUGUCGAUCGACGGGGAAAAGAAAGAUGGGGACAGCGGUGCAGCGGCAUGGCGGUGGAUGGUGGAGGCGCAACUGGCGCCCUUCAUGGUGACUGAUCCAGCGAGUUUAACCGGUUUUUCGGCGGAUCUGACUUUUGAGAGGGGGCGGGGAAAAAUAGCAGCGGUUGUUAUCCACUGCAGAUGAAGCUGUCACCAGUCGAAGAACAGAAAAACCGUGGCUGAAGAGAGUAGUACCCUUAGCUUGGAUUGUUAUACCUAGCCGUUAAAUCUGUUAAGUAACUGUAGUUUCUAUUUAUGGUUAAGUUCUUUUUUUAUUUUGGGUCCCUAAGUUAAUUUAAAUACACUUAGGAAUCUACAAUUGUUCAAGGGUCCCUUUGUAGUCCAAGGAAUAUUCUUGCAGAGGUAGUACAAUUUCAGGCUUAUCCCUUAAGGAUUAGGAUGAGUCAGCUAGGGUUGACAUACUAUAAAUUGUAAUGAGUCAUUUCCAUUUUCACUAUCAUAUAUGAAAAAUAUCUUAGCCGUAAUUAGUUCUUAACUUAGUUCUCAGUCUAGCUUAGUUCCAUUUCUAUAAUUUAUCUGGCUAUUAUUCCACUGGAACACUGUCCUAUUAUCUCUUGUUAAUUGUUCUGCAACAUUUGGUAUUAGAGAACUUUUUUUAGCUCUGUGGGAUAGCAAUGUCUACAGAUAUGGAUGAAAUUAAGUCAAUGUUUGAAAGGAUAACGAUGAAGAUUGCCAACUUUAAUGUUAGACAGAAUCAAUUGGAGGCUCAACAUUAAAAGGCUUUGGUUGAGUUGAAGGAAUCUAUAGAAGAAACUAGAAGGUUCGAUCGGGGUAGGAGUACUGACAUGCAAGAUGGAGGUGGUGAGGUUUAUACCCCUUCAGGGAAUCCCAUGGCUUGGUUACCUCCUUCUACUGGAAGACCUCCAAUGCCCUCUUGUUCUCCAGCUAUAGUUCACGCGGGGGUGGGAUCUAUGCCUUAAUAUGCAGCAACCAUGGGACCAGUUCCACAGCUGGCCCAAGUUGGACAAACAUCAGGAGGAACAUCUGGAGUUGACAGAAACAAUGGUCCACCAAUUCAGGCUCAGUAUCAUGCUGGAGAUCCAACAAUGUCUAGGAUGACCAAGCUAGAGUUCCCUAGAUUUAAUGGUACUCAGCUAAGAACUUGGCUUUGCAAGGUAGAACAAUUCUUUCCUUGGACAAGGUAGAUUAUAAUUUAAGAGUUAAAGUAGCAUCUAUCCAUUUUGAUGAUAUGACCAUUGAGUGGCAUUUGGCUUAUGUAAGGAGUAGGGCUCAUCUACCUCCUCCUUCAUGGGAAGAACAUGUUUAUGCCUUGAUGGAUAGAUUUGGGGAUGAGUUGAAAUUAGUAAAGCAAACUAGAUCGGUAGAAGAGUAUCAGAAGGAGUUUGACAGAAUCAUGACUAGGUUGACUCUACCUCCUGAGUAUGCUAUUAGUGCCUAUAUCUCUGAGUUAAAACCAGAGAUUGGGUUUGCUGUCAAGAAUCACAGACCCCAUUCCCUUCCCCAAGCCUAUCAAUUAUCCCGGAACACAGAAUUGCAAGUUAAUGCUCAACUCAAAUUGACCAGGUCUACAAUGUAUAGUGGGAGUACUAGUCAGAGUAAGGGGUCAUCUCUUGGGACUAGUCACAGGGGUUGAACCUAUAGAAAAGAUUAUCAACCACCAAAAAGAGAUAACAUUGUGGAUCUCAAUAAAAGCAACACUAAGAGGCUUACUCCAGCUGAGAUGAGUGAGAAGAGACAAAAGGGACUUUGCUUCUUUUGUGAGGAAAAGUUUGCCCCUGGCCACAAGUGCAGCACUUCUAAGCAACUUUAUUUGUUGGAAAUGGAUGAUGGGGAGGUAUAGGAAGAAGAAACACAGCCUGAAGAACCAGUUGUGACUGAAAUAGAGGUAGGAGUAGAGGAGAAAUGUGAAAUAUCCAUUCAUACCUUGAAUGGACUUCCUGGAUUUCACACACUAAGAGUGAAAGGGUACAGUGAGAAGAAACCUCUCAAUAUCUUAGUUGACCCAGGAAGUACUCACAAUUUUAUAGAUGGUGAAGUUUCUAGACAGUUGGGGUUGGAAGUGAUAUCAGUGAAACCUUAGUCUAUCAAUGUUGUUGAUGGGGGAAACAAGCAAACCAAUGAGAUGUGUAGAGGUUUCACAUGGAUGAUGCAAGGAACUACUUUUAUUGACAGUUUCCUACUUCUUCCCUUGAGAUCUUGUGAUAUGAUUUUGGGAGUGCAGUGGUUGUUGCCAUUAGGUGAUCUUCAGCUCAACUUCCAGAAACUUACACUAUCUUUUAUGUAUCAGGACCAGAAGGUACAGUUACAAGGAGUCAAGGAAAGCACCAAGAUAGUGGAUGCAAGGGGGUUGGACAAGAUGACUCACAAUAGUGGUCAUUUGUUCAUGAUCAAGGUUUUACCAGCAGAAUCCCUCACUAAAAAAGAAUCAGCAGAUAUCCACCCUGAAAUUGUGACCUUGAUCGAGGAAUUUCACAUGUUGUUUGGGCACCCUCAACAACUCCCUCCAUCCAGGGCCACAUUUGAUCACAUGAUUCCACUACAAAGGGGCACUAAUUUUAUAAACACUAGACCCUACAGGUAUUCAUCAAGACAGGACAUAAUUGAAAAACUGGUACAAGAGAUGUUGGAUCAAGGCAUAGUACAGCCUAGUUAUAGCCCUUAUGCCUUACCAGUGGUGCUAGUAGGUAAGAAGGAUGGCUCUUAGAGGCCGUGUGUGGAUUAUAGAGCCCUAAAUAAGAUCACUAUCAAGGAUAAAUUCCCUAUCCCCAUUGUUGAGGAACUGUUGGAUGAGUUGAGGGGUUUCAAGGUGUACACUAAGCUUGACUUGAGGUCAGGCUACCAUCAGAUAAGGAUGGCUCGAGAAGUCGUGCAGAAGACUGCUUUCAGGACAUAUUCUGGUCACUAUGAGUACUUAGUAAUUCUUUUUGGCCUCACUAAUGCCCCCUCAAGUUUCCAAGGUCUCAUGAAUUAUGUUUUCAAAGUAGACCUUAGGAAAUUCAUCCUAGUUUUCUUUGAUGACAUUCUUGUUUACAGCAGAAACAUGGAAGAGCAUUUGCAGCACUUGAGAAUUAUGUUUGACCUACUCAUCAAACAUCAUCUUUUUGAUAGGAAGGGCAAAUAUUCUUUUGGUGCUACCAGGGUGGAAUACUUAGGGCAUUUCAUCUCUGCAGAAGGUGUAACCACUGACCCUAAGAAGAUUGAAGUUGUGUAAAAGUGGCCUGCUCCUAAGUUCGUUAAGGAACAAAGAGGAUUCUUGGGUCUAGCUGGCUAUUACAAGAGAUUCAUUAAGAGGUAUGGUUGGAUAAGCAAGCCUCUUACUGAACUUCUAAAAAAAGAAGGGUUCAUUUGGAGUGAUAAGGCUACACAGGCUUUCAAUCAACUUAAGAAAGCUUUAACACAUGCACCUGUACUCAGCUUGCCUAGUAGUACAUGCUAAUUUAUGGUAGAAACUGAUGCAUGUGACAUUGGUAUAGGUGCAAUAUUGAUGCAGGAAGGGCAUCCUCUAGCAUACCUGAGCAAGGGGUUAUCAUUAAGACAUCAGGGUCUAUCUGUUUAUGACAAAUAGCUCUUGGCUCUGGUUUUGGCAGUAACCAAAUGGUCACAAUACUUGUUGGGAAGACAGUUUGUUGUAAGGACAGAUCAAAAGGCUCUUAAGUUUUUACUUAAUCAAAAGCUUCAUACUGGUACUCAGAUGAAGUGGAUAGCAAAGCUUAUGCAGUUUGAUUUUCAGAGUGAAUACAAGAAAGGAAGAGAGAAUAAAGCUGCUAAUUCCCUCUCAAGAGUACCAGCUGCUUACUUGUUUCUAUUAUCAGUAAUCCCUGUGGGAACCAAUCUCUUCCAGAGGAUCAAGGCAAGUUGGUAUGAGGAUGAAAAACUCAAGGAACUAAUCCAAAAACUGAUAGACUAAGAUAAAGAUCAAAAGGGUUUCACCUACUAUAACCAGCAACUCAGGAGAUAUGAAAGGUUAGUGAUAGGGAAGGAUGAGCAACUCAGGCAUGGCAUUAUGCAGUUGUGGCAUGAUGCUCCUAGUGGUGGUCAUUCUAGAAUGGAAAAUACUUACAGGAGGCUGUCACACAUGUUCUAUUGGUAAAAGCUAAGAGAGGAUGUUAACAAUUAUGUCAGGAGUUGUUCCAUAUGCCAAAGGAGUAAAUAUGAUACAAUAGCAUCACCUGGCUUUCUACAACCCUUGGUAAUCCCUACUUCUGCUUGGUCCAACAUUAGCAUGGACUUCAUUGAUGAGUUGCCAAAGACUAAGGGUAAGACUACCAUCAUGGUAUUGGUAUAUAGAUUGACCAAAAGUGGCCACUUCAUAGCCCUCAGUCAUCCUUACACACCUGUGAUUGUAGCUCAAGUUUUCCUUGAUCAAGUUUUUAAACUACAUGGCAUGCUUGAGAAUAUAGUCAGUGAUAGGGACCCCAUUUUCCUUAGAAGGUUUUGGCAAGAGUUGUUCUCAGCACAUGGAGUAACCUUGAGUACUUCAACUGCGUACCACCCUCAAUCUGAUGGCCAAAAAGAGGUGCUCAACAGAACCUUAGAGACAUAAUUAAGAUGCUUUUGUUCUGAUAAUUAAUCAGAUUGGUCCCUGUACUUACCUAUGGCAGAGUGGUGGUACAACACCAUAUUUCAUUCAGCUAUCCAGACCACCCCUUACAAGGCCCUAUAUGGUCAACCACCACUACUUCAUCUCCCUUACAUCGCAGGAGAAGUUAUAGAUGAAGAGGUGGAUAGGAGCUUACUUACCAGGGAACUCAAAUCUCAAAUGCUCCAAUAUCAUUUGGGAAGGGAACAACAAAGGAUACAGUCCUUAUCUAACACAGGAAAAAGUGACAGACAACUGGAAGUAGGAGAUUGGGUGUACCUCAAAAUACAACCAUACAGAUAAGUCACCCUCUUUAAUCAGGCUUUCACCAAACUAUCAGCCAAGUUUUAUGGACCUUACCAGAUCAUUCAAAGGGUGGGGUCAGUGGCCUACAAAUUGUCUCUACCACCUCAAGUGUCAAUCCACCCCACCUUUCAUGUUUCUCAGCUAAAACCUUAUCAUAAGGUCCCUAGCCACUUCACUCACCCCCCAAUUAUUGAUCCAGCCAGUGCUUGCUGUGAGGAACCGAAAAAUAUACUAGAAAGAAGGAUGAUAAAGAGGGGAAACAAUGCCAUCCCUCAACUUUUGAUUCACUGGAAGAACAUGACCAAGGAGCAUGCCACAUGAGAAGAUUAUCAAGUGAUGAAGAUCAGAUUUUCAUCAUUCUUCCUUGAGGACAAGGAAGUUUGAAGGAAGGAGAAAUGAUGCAGAUGAAGCUGUCACCAGCUGAAGAACAGGAAAAUUGUGGCUAAAGAGAGUAGUACCCUUAGCUUGCAUUGUUGUACCUAGCCGUUAAAUCUGUUAAGUAACUGUAGUUUAUAUUUAUGGUUAAGUUCUUUUUUUAUUUUGGGUCUCUAAUUUAAUUUAAAUACACAUUAGGAAUCCACAAUUGUUCAAGGGUCCUUUUGUAGUCUAAGGAACAUUCCUGCAGAGGUAGUACAAUUUCAGGCUUAUCCCUUAAGGAUUAGGAUGAGUCAGCUAGGGUUGACAUACUAUAAAUUGUAAUGAGUC